rnacentral:rRNA from 1 species
ACGGAAUAUUGGUCAAUGGAGGCAACUCUGAACCAGCCAUGCCGCGUGCAGGAAGACUGCCCUAUGGGUUGUAAACUGCUUUUAUUCGGGAAUAAACCUAUUUACGUGUAAAUAGCUGAAUGUACCGAAGGAAUAAGGAUCGGCUAACUCCGUGCCAGCAGCCGCGGUAAUACGGAGGAUCCAAGCGUUAUCCGGAUUUAUUGGGUUUAAAGGGUGCGUAGGCGGCCUGUUAAGUCAGGGGUGAAAGACGGUAGCUCAACUAUCGCAGUGCCCUUGAUACUGAUGGGCUUGAAUGGACUAGAGGUAGGCGGAAUGAGACAAGUAGCGGUGAAAUGCAUAGAUAUGUCUCAGAACACCGAUUGCGAAGGCAGCUUACUAUGGUCUUAUUGACGCUGAGGCACGAAAGCGUGGGGAUCAAAC